AAAAAAUAAUUUUAACACACAAAGUCCAUUAUGAAAUAAAAAUUACAAGAGGGUAAAAUGGAUCCAUUUUAUCAAAUUGACAACGAGGACAAAGAAAAUCAUUUGUUUUAUGUUGUUGAAGAAUCAACUUCAUACAUUCAUGAUGGAAUUGUAAAUGGCAAGAUGAACAAGAAAUAUUUGUUUGAGAACGUAAUGGAAGCAUGAAAGGGAAAAUACUCAUAGGAAUAAAUAGUUCCAGAGCCUGGGAAUGUCUAGAAACAAUCAAAAAUAAGCAUGAAAAAAAAGAUUUUUCUACGAGAGCCGAUGUAGAUCCAAUCUUAACUAAUUUUUCUAUAAGUUGAGCUUUUGUUCCACUUGUUUUUAACCCAUAAAGUUUUGCUAACGUCUUCAAUGUGGUGACUUUGAAAACAACAAGACUUUCUCAAAAACAAAUAAAAAAGUAGGACAAAAAUAAUUAAUGAACCUUCAAACAUACCUUUCGGGUGUUAGUGGUUGAACGCAUUUUGAAUGGAGGAUUUGUUGCGUUUGCCGAGUUCCGCUCGAGUCAUAAAGUUCUGUAAGUAAAAGGUACAAUGAAGC